GAGGUCGGAGCGCGGCGCACGCGCAGGAGCUGCUUCGGGGCCUCCACGGCCAAUGGCCAAGAUGGCGCGAGUCGCAGCCAGUGAUACCGACGGGGUUCGUCUGGGACUGGAGAACAUGCUGUUGGCCUUGCUGCACUUUCCUGCACCGUGGGCUCCCCUUUUGGUACCUUUUCCACAACUGGCCCUGUUGGUAAGGACCCAUCUUCCCACCCUGCCUAGAAUCACCACUCACCUCCGACUGAAAACUUUUUUAAUGGUAAUUAGGCUGUUAAUUAAGUUCAAAUUCAUUGUGAAGGGGUAACUCAAUGCAGCUUGGUUACUCAAGCUUUUGAAAGAAAAGCCUGUCUCCGGAGCAUUGGCCCUUUUCCAGCUCCUGGGAGGCCGCCGCUAAGCCCCUGUCAUAUUCUGCCCGAUCAGAGUGUUUUUGGAAUCCAGGCAUCGCCGUCCUAGUUUGGCCAGAUCGUUUCUACAAAGAUUGUGACUUGCGGUGAACAUCUGCGUUUGUAUGUGUGAGGCCCUGGGCCACGCUGUGUUCGUUUGCCGCCUGGGGGCUGUCGACUGAGUAGCUGAAGUCAGUCACGUGGUUGCCGCAUGCCUGCAUGACCUCCAGUAGAGUCCCUGCACCCCAAGGCUUGGCUGAGCUCCCCUGGCCGGCAGCACUUAGCAGGUUUCGUGACGCACCAUUCCUGGGAGAAUUAAGCAUUGACCCGCGUGACUCCUUUGGGAGAAAACAACUGAUCUGUCACCACGGGUUUCUACUGGACGUCCCCCGUGUGCCUUUUUCCCCUUGCUGGUUGUCCUGUGCGUGCUCUCACUGUAAUAGGUCAUCACCGCGUAUAAAGCAGUUCAGAAGGACUCGCAGGACUCUGAAAAGUAGAACAGCUCUCCUGAGUCCCAGGGAAUCUUCGAGCCUGACGAGGGUCUCGGAGACCCGCCUCACGCUGUUGCUACAGGUGCUCAGAUCGGUACACGCUCUACCGUGUGAUUCAAGCAUCCCAGUAGGUGGACCUACUGAACCCAGUUGGACUGUGCCCUUGGCAAUCCCCCGGUUGCAGACCUGAUCCGGAACAUCCUGAGGGCACUCGGAGGAGCGAGCGCGUGCCCCGGGGCAGGAGCUGAGCGGGCUUGCUUUCUUGCCACGUUCUGCUGAGGGUCCCUGGCACCUGCCAGAACACCUUCCUGGAGUUCUUCCCCGCGAUGGCCGAGGUGACAGGCCCAUGGCGCAAUGCCUUGAUGGGAUUCUGCUCUUUGAACUGCAUGAGUUGCCCUAAAGAAUGGAAGGCCAGUUGCAGGCGUUCGUCUCCGGGCUUGACUGCAUGGCCCUUCCUGCAGCUGGCCCUGCGGAUUUCCGCAGGCAGGAGGGCACCAAGAGUGAGUGGCUGCUAUAGUGAGAAAUGAAGGUCUUUUCUCUUGUGGCAGUUCCUGCAGUCAUUUGCGCUUUAAAGUCCCUUUCUAUGGUGAAGUCACCAUCUCCUCUGAACGUAACAGAUGUUUUUGCCAAAUAUCUUUUCAAUGGGUAGCUUUUGCUGUAACACUGGUUCGUGUAAUAAAAUUACUGCCUACAAUCAAAUAUAUUUUUACACUUC